UUCUAGCCCUGAUGGCAGCGAUAUCCUUUUGUUUUUUUUCUUAAAAAAAUAAAAGAUUUAGCGAACAGCAGGAAAUAGC
rnacentral:sRNA from 1 species